rnacentral:lncRNA from 1 species
GCCGCUCAAGCCGAAGCAUUGCCCCUUCUUCAAACUCCACCGAUUUCAGGCCAUCUAUGUCAUUUAGCUCCAGCACUAUCAGACUCGGGAAUGCCUCCGGAUGGAAGGUGAAACGGAGGUUGUCAACCUGGAACGACUUCGCCCACAGACGUAAGCUGACCAGGUUCGGUAGCUUCCCAAGAACUUGGAGUGCAGGUUCGUGCUCCAGUAUUCUAGAGCUCCUUAGAAUCAACUUCACAAGAUUCUUGAGCCCCUCGACCCAUCCUGGCAAUUUGAGCAGAUUGCCGUAUACCUUGAGGCUUUGCAGGUUUUUCGGAGCGGAGGUCAAGCUAUCUAAGCAGCCAUGCAAACCUGGCAUCCCACGUGCCUGCACUAGCAAAUAUUCCAGGCAGCUGAGAUUGGCAACGACUGAACACAAUUCCUGGCCAUUUUCCUUGUUGAUGCCAGUCACAGCUAACUUGCGCAACUGGGUCAGUCUUUUUAUGUCGAGUAGAUUUGCCUUGUCCCAUGCGAGAUUCACAACACUCAAUGUGCGCAGGGAUUUUAGUUUCCCUAUCCCUCUUGGCAUCCAAGUUGGACCUUCUUUCGCCAUCAGAACAGGGAGCAUGACGCAGCAACACUGAGUGCAUACAUCACACCUAUUCAUGUCACCAUCCACAUCCAUAACCUCUUUAAUAAAUUGAGGUGCGCAACAUGCCACGCAAAAUCCUAGCAACCAACCCAUACAAAUGCAUGGCCUGUUAUUCACUACUUUUGGCAGUUCUUCAAGCGAUAAUGAAUUAUCAUGCGCUCCAACAGCCCCAGCACGAAGAUAUUGUAGCUUCUUGAGCUUGGUGAUGGUCUUGGGCAGCUUUAAAAUCGAUGUCUGUGAAAUAUCUAGUGUUUCUAGUUGCUUUAGAUUACCCAACGAAUCUGGCAAGUGAAAAAUAUCAGCACAUCUUCUUAGAGAGAGGUAUCUGAGGUGAAGAAGCUUCCCAAUAUGCUCUAGGUGAUGACUAACCAGACCUGACGUGCCUUCCAAGUCCAGCACACGCAAGAACCUCAUCUUGUCAGAAAUGAAAAAGGACCUCCACUUCCCAAACACUGUUAAUGAGCGUAUGCGGGACAGAUCCACUUUGUUCUCAAACUCACUCUUAUCUGCUUCCCAGUUGGUGCUUAUGACAAGGUGGCGAACUGUGCCCUGGGUGUUUGAGCUGCAACCUUCCUCCAUUCUAAAAACGAGAUUCUCUUCUGUUGACUUUGAGAUGCUAAUCUCACGCAUGAGAUCAUGAACUUGGCAAGAGUCAAUUCCUUUUCUACUAUUAACUGAUAGCUGAGAAGGUAGGAUCAUGCUCCUCUCUAUUAGUUCCAUGAAGUAGUUGUCAGCUACUUCUUCUGGGGACUUAUCUCGAAUCUCCCUUGAGUAACCUUCUGCACUCCACCGUCGUAUCAAACGUCUUCGACUAACCUUGUGAUCUUCAGGGAAGAUGGAUGUAUAUAGGAAACAAGACUUAAGAUGGUAUGGUAGACCAUCAUAACUUUUACCAAGAAUUGUUUUUAUGGCCCCAAGCUCCGGGUUCAUUUCCAAUUCAGCACUAAUAUGCUCAUUUAAUUUCCUCCACUCUACCGCUACUUUUGGUUGCUUUGCCAAGAAGCCUCCGAUGGUGACUAUUGCAAGGGGAAGUCCAUUGCACUUCUUCAAGAUCAUUUUUGCUUCUUUGAUCAAUUCAGGAUGCUUAUCCAAAUCUUUGGCCUCCAUAAACACCUGAAAUCAGUAGUGCUUAUUAUGUUCUUUGAGAUUGAAAAUACGUACGAAUGGUCUAUGUAGUUUACUUAUUUAUUAGAAUGACUAUGGCACAAUUAUUAGUCUCAUGCCUAUUGAAGAAUAGAAUUAUUAGUUAUGAUGUCCUUAUGUUGUAAUGAAAGAUAUCACAAAUGGCGGCAGGAUUAUAUUGUAAUAUAGUAUACCUUUCUUGUGAAGAGGUCUUGUGCAUCCUUGCAGUCAAGAACUUUGAGCUUGUAUAUGUUUUCUUGUUUCUCUGAACAAUGUUUUGCUAUACUCUCUUCCCUUGUGGUCACUAUAAUCCGGCAUGAACUAUCUAAUUUAGGGAAGCUUCCAAAUAUAUUAUCCCAUUCUGCUAUUGAUGAAAGAUCAUCAAGAACAAUCAAGCACUUCCUCCCUUCAAGAAGCCUAGCUAACUCUUUUAUUAAUGCUUCAACUCCCAUCAUUACUAGGGCUGUGUUUCUUGCACCAUGUGCAAAAUCUAUUGCUCCUUUCUUUUCAGAAGAUUGUACAUUUAGUUGCAUAAUUAAGCUCUUCAGAAACUCCUUACGAAUGAAAGGGCGCAUCACUGUAACACAAGCAUGCUUCUCAAACACACCAACAAGCUUUUGACUUUCAUAAACAUCUUUGAUCAGAGUAGUUUUCCCAAUACCACCCAUUCCCCAUACUGAGAUCACCGCAUGCUCUUGAUUAGAUCGAUUUGAAAUGAGGUUGAUGAUAUCAGUUUUUUCUUUUUGCCGACCGAUAAGUUGUGAUUCCUCCAAAGCACUUGCCAUAGUUUUGAUGCGAGUAAGGCUUUUUGUGAAUACCUUUAUCUCAUUGCCACCUUGAGAUUGAUGUCCCAGUGCUACAUUAGUACUUAUUGAUUCAUCUGAGCUGGACACUACCACUGGUAUUUUUAUUUGAUCUUGACAAUCCUAUGCAGAAGUAAACUUUAGUUAUCAGAAUUUUAAAUUUGUCGGUGUUUAAACAAUAUUUUGACUCAAAAAGGUAAAUUCUAGCAUAAAUGCAUAUAAAUAUAUGAUGGCCAUAGAUAGAUUGCUUGGGUAAUUAAAAGAAACAAGAUAGAUUGAUUAGGCAAGAAUGGAAUUAUAACAUAUAGGGGAGGCUAGUAUCUAGCCCUAUUACAAAUGAGGUGUUUAGAUAGAACUAUAAUGUGUAAGAUUGUUAUUGGCCAAUAUAUAGAUUUUAUUUAACACUAAUAUUACUAAUAAUAGAUUCUAUUUGGAUGAUCGAUGUUAAAUCUCACUAAACACGCUAGAAAAAUAGAUAGAUCUUAGAAAAUCUCACAAAGAGCGAAACAUUCUACCAUCAAUUUUGUAGACUCAAUCCUUGUUGAUAACAAUAAGCAUAGGAUGUAAUUUACUUUAAAAAUGACCUACCUCUACCAUUACAAAGAUAAUAUCCAAAAUCUACACCUAAAAUCCCCACAUAUGCUAUUAUGAAUAAGAAUUUAUUCGUCCUCUAAAUCUCCAUACAAGUGACCAAUCACUGCUACUAUGAAAAUAAAGCGUAAGUAACCUCACAAUUUGUAUCUAAAUUACCAAUACCCUCUGCCAUUAUGAAUAAGAAUUUAAAUAAGAUAAUAAAUUUGUGGCUAGAUUAUCCACUGUUUCCAUUAUUAAAAAUGACUUAAAGUAAUGCUUAAAUCUACAUAUGAAUUACACAUUUUUAUGAUUAUAAAGUAUAAUAAUCCAAAGCAUGCCCUAUAAAUUUUUCUAAAUUGAUCAUUGGUAUCAUUAUUAAUAUGUGAAAAAACUAAAGUAUACACAUCCAUGAUGUGUACCACCAUAGAAACCAAGUAGCAAGCAUGUAGGGAUCAAUAGAUGCAUUGAUUUACAUGGUUUGGCAAUAAUAAAAGUUAUUUUCUUAAUGAUUCAUAUUACAAUGGCAGUCCACGUUAAAUUAUAUUACAAUACUACUACAUGACAAGAAUUAUUUAAGUUGCUACUCUAGAUAAAUGUAUUACAUUUUGACUGACAACAUUGUAACAUCUACAAUGAUAGUUACAUUAUGACCACUCUAAUGAUAGUUGCUAUUCUUUUGAUCUAUUUUUGUAACAUAAGUUAUAAUGUCAUGUGUUGUCCCAAUUAAUAUGAACUUAAAACUCAACCGGUACAUGGAGAACAAAAAUAAAAAAAAUCUCAUUAGGGGCUGCAUGGACCAAUUGAAUUAGUUUGGGGAGUACCAUCCAGUUGUUCAAGGAACUAAGCGGACAUAGUGGAUUGCUUAGGGUAGUAAAAUAGACUUCUUCAUUUAGUAAAAUUUUUCUAUAGAGAAAUUUUUACACCUCUAGACAUGCUGGAUGACAAUCUUGUUUAUUCCUUCCACUUGUAACAGAUAUGCUUCUUAUGCUAGCAUGUACAGGAGCAUGUGUACUUGUUAAUGGACUCGUCCCUUAUGGGCGAAAAUUGAUACAUUCUUUCCUGUGCCUAUAAAUAUGGUAAAAGAAUACUGGAUACAACAACCUGAAUCCUUGUAACUAUCUGAGAUAAAGAAAAAUAAAAGAGGUGACACUAAUUCGACGAUUUCUGAAGGAUGAAUAGUACCUUCUCGUAGAAAGCGUAAAUAGUCUGAUGAGCGGAGAACUGCUUAAGCUCCAACGCUUGGCAUUCUUGCCCUGCACACAAGCUUGCAACUUCAAUUUGUAGGCUGCAAACUAUGAUUCGACUCCCUUUCUUGUGGUUCGGCGGCAGACAUGCUUUAACCUCAUUCCACUCUUCAAAGGUGGACAGGUUAUUAAGCACAAUCAGGAAACUAUUCUCGCUUAGGUAUCCAGAGAACUCCUCUGCCAACUCUUUUCCUGUCUUCUUGGUCUCCAACAGAACAUCGACCCCCACGGCUGAUCGGAACUGCUUCACUAAGCUUUGGAUGAAGUCAUUCGGAUUGAAGGGAUGCGAGAUCCUUACCCAUGCCCGGCACGAAAACUUCCUUUUGAUAUCUGGAUUCUCGUAGGCCGCGUUGAUGAUGGAUGUCUGCCCAAGAUCACCACUGGUUCCCCACACUGCGAUCACUCUAAGAUCCUCGCCCGGUGUGUUGAUCAGGUGGACAAGGUCCACUUUUGAGUUGUCAUUCUUCGCAGCACGCCGUGCAUCAUCGAUGCCGAAUAUCGCUGCAGCUGUAAUGCUUGACUGCUCAGCAGAAGUGACCGGCUUGGAGCCAGCGCUCUUGAUGAGCUGGUAGCGCAGGUUCCUCUGGCUCACGUCCUCAACUCUGGUCCUCAGCUCCUUCAUCUUCUUGGCGAUGCGGCGCCGCUCUUGCAACGUGCGAGGAAGGCGCCACCAAGAUGGCUUGUGGAGAUGAACAGAGAAAUCCUGGAGGCAGUCCUCCGCAUCGUACGCCACGUCACGAACUUGUUUCACCCAGGUCAUGAGCACCUCAUGGUUGUCUCGCUCGUCGUGCGCAGCCCUCAUAAAGGCUUGCAUCAUCGCGAGCUCGUCCCUGAUGAAAGCAUGAUCGCGCUGGAUGCCGAGCUGCAAGGCCACCUCCUCCGCGACAGCGGAUUUGGCGUAGCCAAGCGCUCCAUCCAGCACGGACUUGCCCACACUCAACGCUGUGGCCUCCAUGGCUCUCCUCUCGGGUGCUGUGUGGUGUGGAAAUGCUUGGUGCCAGUCCACAAGCCAACCAUUUGGUUAAAAAGGUGAACUCAACAACUAGAGGACCGAGCAAGUUGAAAUUUUUCAUGAAGACUUGGACUUAGUGUAGCAGUUCCUCAAGUCGUACCAAAUUAAUUUAGUGGUAGGCUAUGUUAAUUAAGUGGUAGGCUAGUAUUGAGAUGCACGCAAGAGAGCUGUUGGUCCAAGCUUGCAGCGCGUUGACUCUGUUGCACAUGUUGGCACGAGCAAACUACACACCUAAGCACGCAGCUUGCAAUUUUCUUUAAGAAAAGCUGCACAUGUUGGCAACCAUUAUGAUCGUUAUGAAUCGAUUGAAGCGCAGAUGCCAUCUCAUUGUCAACGGGACCGGAGCUAGAGAAGAAUAAAGGGGCGUGCGACACCUUCAAGGCAUACAUAGACAUUUAAUUUAACAUGAUGAAAAUUUCGAGCGAUAGCAAACUAUGAGUUUUUUCUACGUGCGGCAGCACCCGGCACUUAUAACCUAGCUCUGCCCCUGGUUGUCAAGGAUAAGGACAUUUGGAAUCAACUGAAACAUCAUAAGAAGCUAGCCCAAAAAGCAAAAGCAACGCACAAACCUACAGACAAGCUGCUCUGUGGUAGGGGAGAAAACUUCAGCAAAACACUAAAGCUUCUAUGCAGAGUAAAAAAUUAGAUCCUUCCUUCUUCUCGAGUCAAUUCCAUGGAUGGACACAUGUGAGAAUGCAUCCACAACUUGUAGCGAAGCAUGUGACCUUGUAUGUGAGAGCAAGCCCCACGUGCCUGCACUAGCAAAGAUUCCAGGCAGCUUAGAUUGGCAACGACUGAACAGAACUCCUGGCCGGUUUUCUUGCUGAUGCCGGUCACAGCUAACUUGCCUUGUCCCAUGCAGAGAUUCACAGGACCCAAUGUGUGCAGGGCUUUUAGUUUCCCGAUCCCUCUUGGCAUCCAAGUUGGACUUUCCAUUGUCAUCAUCAGAAGAGGGAAGAACCAGCAGCAACAUAUAGUGCACCUAUUAAUGUCACCACCGGCCCGUUACGUGAAACUCUUUUAAGAAGAUGAGGUACACAACAUGCAACACAAAAUCCGAGCAACCAACCCGUACAAAUGCAUGGCUUGUUAUUCACUACUUUUGGCACUUCUUCUAACGGACUAUUAAAUGAUUUAUCAUCCUUUCCAACAGACCCAGGAUCAAGAUAUUGUAGAUUCUUGAGUUUGGUGAUAGUCUUGGGCAGCUUUAAUAUCUCUGUCUCUGAAAUAUCUAGUGUUUCUAGUUGCUUUAGAUUACCGGCCCACCAACGAAUCUGACAAGUGAAAAAUACCAGUACAUCCUCUUAGAGAGAGGUCUCUGAGGUGAAGAAGCUUCCCAAUAUGCUCUAGGUGAUGAUUAAACAGACCUGAUGUGCCUUCCAAGUCCAGCACACGCAAGAACCUCAUCUUGUCGGAAAUGAAAAAGGACCUCCAGAGAACUCCUCUGCCAACUCUUUUCCUGUCCUCUUGGUCUCCAACAGAACAUCAACCCCCACGGCUGAUCGGAAGUACUGCUUCACUAAGCUUUGGAUGAAGUCAUUCGGAUUGAAGGGAUGCGAGAUCCUUACCCAUGCCCGGCACGAAAACUUCUUUUUGAUAUCUGGAUUCUCGUAGGCCGCGUUGAUGAUGGAUGUCUGCCCAAGAUCACCACUGGUUCCCCACACUGCGAUCACUCUAAGAUCCUUGCCCGGUGAUUCAGCACUUCUGGUAGGAUCAUCGAGGAGAGGCGGCGUCGAUUGAGCCCGGAGAUGGUGGAGGUGCUCUCUUGCGUCAAGGACUGGAAAGCUGCAGAAGCAAGACUUCAGAACAUCUUGGAGGAUCAAGAGCUUGAGGAAAGUUUUGCUAAUUUGUAUCUAAAUGUCCCUGCUGAUUCAGAGGUGUAAAACUUGACCUGUAAUAACUUGAACUACUAUAAUAUUGAUUUGAUUGAGCUAGGCUGUACUCUUUUUUCCUAUCUAGGGUUUCUCACGAGGUGUGAGUUUUACCUAAAUAGGUUUUUAAUGAGGUAGCCAUUGCACUAGCUCAAACUUAUAAUCUCUUGUUUCUCUCUGUGAUGUGGUGGAAGGAAUAACUGUUAGAAGUGGAAGGAAUAAACAAGAUUUUCAACCAGCAUGUCUAGAGAUUAUAAGUUUCUCUCUGUGCCGUGGUGGCCUUCGAAAGGGAAUCGAUACGGAAAAUCAAAACACAGUGGUGAAACGUAUCAUGUAAAUAAAACUCUUUAUUGCAUUAAAAAAACAAUGGGCUGAAACUGAACCGGGCCGAAACAACAACGAGGCAAGCUGAACCGUGCGUGGUUCUGUAUUUUCACAUGCAUGUUGUUCCACGUUGGCUCUGCCGCAAUGUGGUCAUUCUCUCUGGUUUUAUGGGAAUAAGCAAUGCCUAUGCAGGGGUUGCUAGCCUGUGCCUGAUCGCCGUGGAGCCGCUGCCCCUGGUGCCAGUGGACAAGCUAAAAUACUACUCCAGCGAAGCGUGUGUGGCCUGCAAUGGAGUACCGUGCAUUUCCUCUGUUGACAAUGGCAGGGACGCAAGGGAGCUGCAACAUCACUUGCAAAGAAAAAUGAUGGCAAACCAACUCAAGCAUACACAACCAGCGACCCUGCAGAUCAUUGUGGUGAACGUUCAUACAAAUGACCUGUACAAUUAUUCAUAUAUAGUCCACACCAGUCUUUGUAGCCCAAUUACUGAAUUGAAGAACAUUAUUUCACUUCUAUCAGGCGAUGCAUGAUGGAGCAGCACGCCAAUUAUUCUUAUUUGGCACAACCACAUAAGCAAAAAAAGGAAUACGUACGUACAGACGAACAAAACAAAAAACAGAUGAUUCAGAGACGCCGCACUAGGCCCACGGGAUACUGACACGAUCGACCUUAGCUGCAUGCGUCAAAAAGAAAUACAUCAGCAGUAGGACUGGAGAUUAAUUUUACACACACAUCAAUUGUUCAGAUGCACAAAGAGGGUAACAGGGAAGCAGCAAGAGCAAUGACCUGGCACGACGAUCGGCUGACUCUGCAGCACCUCACCACAUCUUCAAAGCGGGUCCAUUUGGAUUGGCACCAAGCUGGCCCUGCAGGUCUUCCAUGAAAGCGUGCUCAUAAGUUUUGCUGUCCAGCAUAAAUUCCUUGAGGCUCCGGAGCAAUGGUAGCCCGGAAAACAUCCCUGUGUUGGUUUCUUCAAGCUUGCCACAAAAAUCCAGCCGCUCAAGCCGAAGCAUUGCCCCUUCUUCAAACUCCACCGAUUUCAGGCCAUCUAUGUCAUUUAGCUCCAGCACUAUCAGACUCGGGAAAGCCUCCGGAUGGAAGGUGAAGCGGAGGUCGUCAACCUGGAACGACUUGGCCCACAGACGUAAGCUGACCAGGUUUGGAAGCUUCCCAAGAACUUGGAGUGCAGGUUCGUGUUCCAGUAUUCUAGAGCUCCUUAGAACCAACUUCACAAGAUUCUUGAGCUCCUCGACCCAUCCUGGCAAUUUGAGCAGAUUGCCGUAUAUCUUGAGGCUUUGCAGGUUUUUCGGAGCGGAGGUCAAGCCAUCUAAGCAGCCAUGCAAACCUGGCAUCCCACAUGCCUGCACUAGCAAAGAUUCCAGGCAGCUGAGAUUGGCAACGACUGAACACAAUUCCUGGCUGUUUUCCUUGUUGAUGCCGGUCACAGC